UCGGGACACCGACCAGGAAUUCGGACAGGAGCGGGGGACCCAGGUGUGAUCGCCGUAGCAGUUCCGACGGCUUGGGGUGAAGCCGCCCCGGAGCGGACGCAGUCGCGUCCCCGCUCCCCGGCGGCCGGGCCAGCCUCCCGGUCCGAACCCGACAGCUCACCUCGCAGGCGUGCGGAGAGGAAGU
rnacentral:sRNA from 1 species